AUCAAGCCGAUUUGUAGCCGUUGGGCGGCUUGCUUGGAACAAGUUCGCAAUGCACCUCCAAGUGGAACCGUGGAAUCUGACUAUGACAAAAUUGCCCAAUAAAGAUACAAAGACAUGGAAGCUUCCGAAGGCAAAAAAAUUAAACUAGAGCAUAGUUGGGAUAUGCUCAAAGAGUGCAAGAAGUGGAAGUUGAUUGACAAAGAAUCCCCACCGAAGAGAGGUUCACUUACGAACAUGGAUGAAGAUGAAGAUGAUGAUGGCCCAAGAAACUUGAACAAGCUCGAUGGUGACAAGAAGACAAAGGAGAAGAUCAAGAGGGAACACGAAGCAUCGAGCUUGCAGGACAAGAUAGAUGCCAUGGUGCAAUCAAAUGAGUUGAUGUUAGUGAAGAGAUUGGAGGCAAAGAAAGAGUUGGCCGAGAAGAAGGCACGAGAGAAGCAAGAGAAGUGGCAAUUGCUCAAGGAUGAGGGGUUGCGCAAGGCGGCCAUUGAGGAGAGAAGAGCAUGUGCUGCUGAGAACAAAGCCAUGUCCAAGCUUCUUGCCGAAGAGAAUAGGAUCAUGACAAUGAACCGCAAUGACAUGGACGACAUCACCAAAGAAUUGCAUGAUAUGGCAACGCGAGAAAUCUUGAAGAGGAGGAUGAUUGCGUCCGCCGGUGCUUGUUACAGUGCCGACGAUGUUUUCUCAUCGGGAUUUGGAACCAAUAUCGCCGAUGCAUUCAAUGCGCCGGCCGUUGAUUUCGGUGCCGGAGUUGGAACAAGUGCCGGCGAUGGAUUCGGGGGCGGCGAUGACCUCGAUGGAGGUGGUGCGGAGUAA
rnacentral:rRNA from 1 species